rnacentral:rRNA from 1 species
UACAGAGGUGGCAAGCGUUGUUCGGAAUUACUGGGCGUAAAGGGCGCGUAGGCGGCUUGGUCAGUCCCGUGUGAAAUCCCUCGGCUCAACUGAGGAACUGCACGGGAAACUGCCUGGCUUGAGUUCGGGAGAGGGAAGCGGAAUUCCGGGUGUAGCGGUGAAAUGCGUAGAUAUCAAGAGGAACACCUGAGGUGAAGACGGGUUGCUGGGCUGACACUGACGCUGAGGCGCGAAAGCCAGGGGAGCAAACGGG